GAAAGUUAAAAGUGGGUCCCAUGGCAGUUUAGAAAAGAAAGUGGCAUUUCUUUAAAAAAAUUACAUUUUCAUCGUAAAGAAUAUAAUCUUCUCUUACUCAAAACUGUUAUGAAAUGGUUUUGUACAACACUGAACACAUACUUAUAGCCCGCAAAUCACUCAUAUCAAUGGAUUAAGAGUUUUCGUUAUCAAAUAGAGGUGAGUAUAAUUCCAUUCCACUAGAAAAACUCCCCUCUCAAAGAAAUUUUGAAUCUCCUUUGUUUUUUUUUUUUUUGGAAUCACCUUUGUUACCUGAAGUUUAUGUUUG
rnacentral:lncRNA from 1 species